rnacentral:tRNA from 1 species
CCACCACCCUAGCCGGCGGCGACCUGGCCGGCCUGCAAAGCUGGCUAGCCGACAACGGCUAUUCCAUCCGGCCGGCGGUGGCCCA